AGAAAAAAUAUGGUAUAAAAUGGGGCUGCUAACUUUAUUUUGGGUUAUUCAAUUUAAUCCUUUUUCUU
rnacentral:tRNA from 1 species